AAAACGGCCCUUUUCAGGGCCAAUUACAUAUCUGAGAAAGAGGUUG
rfam:Tetranychus urticae London genomic scaffold, scaffold_7